rnacentral:rRNA from 1 species
UCAGUUCGGAUUGCAGGCUGCAACUCGCCUGCAUGAAGCUGGAAUUGCUAGUAAUCGCGGAUCAGCAUGCCGCGGUGAAUACGUUCCCGGGCCUUGUACACACCGCCCGUCACACCAUGAGAGUCGGGAACACCCGAAGUCCGUAGCCUAACCGAUUCGGAGGGCGCGGCCGAAGGUGGGUUCGAUAAUUGGGGUGAAGUCGUAACAAGGUACC